UGGCUCAGAACGAACGCUGGCGGCAGGCUUAACACAUGCAAGUCGAGCGCCCCGCAAGGGGAGCGGCAGACGGGUGAGUAACGCGUGGGAACCUACCUGAAGGUACGGAACAACUCCGGGAAACUGGAGCUAAUACCGUAUGUGCCCGAAAGGGGAAAGAUUUAUCGCCUUCAGAUGGGCCCGCGUCAGAUUAGCUAGUUGGUGGGGUAAUGGCCCACCAAGGCGACGAUCUGUAGCUGGUCUGAGAGGAUGAUCAGCCACACUGGGACUGAGACACGGCCCAGGAUCCUACGGGAGGCAGCACUGGG
rnacentral:rRNA from 2 species